AGCAGAUUACCCAGGCCUUGCACCUGGAUCACGGGGCUGCCCUAAUCAAGGAUAUCAAAAAUGAAGGGGCAGCUAAAGAAAAAUAAAAGACACCUCAGAAAGUAGCCUGCCUCUUUGACAAGGGACAUGCCUUCAGAGGAACAUAACAGAAACCCCUGAGAAUUGUCAGCAAUAAAAAGACUGAGCAACAAGGGAAACUGGUAGGAAGCCAAAGGUUUUAAGAGGUGAGAGUGGAGAAAUGCUGUGCUUUUAUUGAUCCUCUCCAAAGGAACAACCUUAAAAAAGCAUGAUAGAAAUCGGCACUAAUCAUCAUAAAAGAAGAAUGUCAGCCAAGCCAGAGAAGGAAUUUUGGGGUUCGCUUUGAAGACUUGUGCACUCUCCAGCUGGUCACAGACACUACACUCACCUAUUUUGUAAAUACAUCUUUUUUUUUUUUUUUAAGCUUCUCACCUCAGUCUCUACCAGACAGGCUUGUGUGAGGAGUGAACUAGUAUUGUAUCUGUUAAUUUCUUUGCAGGCAAAAAUCAAGUUACCAGGAAAAUAUUUUUUAAAAACCACAAACAGUCUAAGAGCACUGCAACAUUUUUAAUCAUUUGCCUUUUCUCAACACUGCAUUUUAAGCAAGGAACAAGACUAUUCCAGUUCUAAAUGCUUUAAUGAACAAGGGGUAUUGGGUCUUAGCAUCAACAUGAUCUAUCCUCACUCUGAAGCUUUGAGUAGCUUCUGUGCUUUGUAAAGCUUCAAUCCAAUUCAUUUGAUAACUACAAUUACCAAAUCCGGGCAUUGCUGACUAUACAGUUCAAAAAAACAGCAUGGAGGGAAGACCUGCUGGGAACCUUAGAAUCUAUCGAUAAGCUCUUGAAGUGGUUUAAAGUAAUAAACCACUUCAAUUGAAAGGGCAAUAAAAUGUUUCUCGUGUA